rnacentral:lncRNA from 1 species
CCAUCCUGAAGAGGGCUCUCCUCCCUGAAAGCCUUUGCCAUAUCCCUGAUGACCUAAGGACCUGGACUUUACAAGGCAGAUGGAUGAACCUUUCCUAUGGCCAUUGCUUUGUUCCUCUGGAAUACACCCAAAACAGCCCAGUGUCAUCAGCAAAUCUUGGAAAUGGAACUCAAUUUCAAGCAGUGGAAAACUGUUUAUGGAGCUCAGUGUGUUCUUGUCUGCUGUUGUGUUCAGCACUCAUAUGAUGUUUAAUUGAAAUCAAUACAGCUUCAUUUUUAAGUGAGUGUUUAAGUCUUGAUGCCAAAUUGUGAAGGCCUCACACAGCUCCGUUGUCUUCUGUAUCCAUGAUGUGUCCCAUCCAAAAAUCCCAAAUAUUUCUAUGGACACCAUCUCCUGUGCUGCUGAACAGGCUGCUGGCACUGCCUUGUUCCUGCAGCCUGGUCUUCCUGUUGCAUAAAACAUUUGCAGAUUUCAAAACCAGUUUAAGAAAUAUUUCUGUUAUUCUUUCUAAUCCUUAAACCAGUGGCCUGGCGCUUUGCCUAGAUUGCAAAUAUCAAAGAGCUGAUUGAAACACUCUGGACUCUCCUGACCUCAUAAAGAACACUCUGUAAUCCUUUUGUUAUGCAAGAAUUAGUUUCUCCUGAGCUAUGACAAUUUAUGGAUAGGAGAGGAUAGUGUUUUGUGUGUGAACCAAAAGCUCUGUGUUUCUUUCAGGAGGCAGAAGUUCCUUUGGGCCUUAUCAUGUGGAUGAUGACUGGGUUUGUCACUUGCAGCUUCACAACAAUGCUACUGCUCAUGGGCUGCAGUGGGUCUCACUGCUGUACAUGCACACAGCCUCCUGCUCUGACUGCAAGGUUCAUGACUGCCUCUUGAGGAGGCUGGAUUUCCCAAAUACACACACACUAGGUGUGGGUGGUGCAGCCAGAAAAGCUGCUGUUUAUGGUUUGCUCCCAACCAGGUGCAAGACUAUGAAGUAACAAGGGUAGCCUCCUUUCUUUCACACUCUGUUUUCAGAAAUGGGCUAGAGCACAGCUGCUUUUGCCACUUGUCUCCAGGUCAGUCUGGACUGUGGCAGGGAAAGGGCAGUGUGUCCUCAGAAGUGAUAGCCAGGAAAUGACAACAUUUUCAUCGUCCUGCAGUCCCCUUCUAUAGGCAUCACAUGUGACAUGUUGAGCAUUCCUACCCUGAAGAAGAAAUAUCCCCUAUCUGCAUAUUGUGGUGAUUGAAAAAAAAGAAAAAAGAAAAAGAAGAAAGGAAAAAGGAAAAAAACCAGCCCAGACCUGUGUGAAAAUGCCAAGUAAAUUAAGACCUCUCAUCAAAAGCAAAACAGUCUUGACUCAUGGAUUGUAAUUUAGUUUAAUUCAAUUCAAUUCUUUUCCGAUUAACAGAAGAUUUUAAGAUCUACUUUGGCUAAUGAGGGGAAUUAUAAGGGGCUGAUCAAUAAAACAAACCCUGAGGGAAAUGUCUUUCUUCCC